UCCCGGAUAGCUCAGCUGGUAAAGAAUCUGCCUCCAAUGCAGGAGAGCUGGGUUCGAUCCCUGGGUUGGGAA
rfam:TPA: Bos taurus chromosome 8, whole genome shotgun sequence.